GGGCCGGUAGCUCAGUGGUAGAGCACCAGUCUUAUAAACUGGCGGUCGUGAGUUCGAUCCUCAUCCGGCCCA
rnacentral:tRNA from 1 species